GUAGGUGGCAAGCGUUGUCCGGAAUUAUUGGGCGUAAAGCGCGCGCAGGUGGUUCGUUUAAGUCUGAUGUGAAAGACCCCCGGGCUCAACCGGGGAGGGUCAUUGGAAACUGGGGAACUUGAGUGCAGGAGAGGAAAGUGGAAUUCCACGUGUAGCGGUGAAAUGCGUAGAUAUGUGGAGGAACACCAGUGCGAAGGCGACUUUCUGGCCUGUAACUGACACUGAGGCGCGAAAGCGUGGGGAGCAAACAGGAUUAGAUACCCUGGUAGUCCACGCCGUAAACGAUGAGUGCUAAGUGUUGGGGGGUUUCCGCCCCUCAGUGCUGCAGCUAACGCAUUAAGCACUCCGCCUGGGGAGUACGGUCGCAAAGACUG
rnacentral:rRNA from 1 species